rnacentral:rRNA from 1 species
CCCUUAGAUGUUCUGGGCCGCACGCGCGCUACACUGAUGCAUUCAACGAGCCUAUACUUGACCGACAGGUCCGGGUAAUCUUUGAAUCUGCAUCGUGACGGGGAUAGAUUAUUGCAAUUAUUAAUCUUCAACGAGGAAUGCCUAGUAGGCGCAAGUCAUCAGCUUGCGUCGAUUACGUCCCUGCCCUUUGUACACACCGCCCGUCGCUCCUACCGAUUGGGUGUGCUGGUGAAAUGUUCGGAUCGGCCGUUUGUCGCGGUUUCCGCGGCUCGUGGCUGAGAAGUUCAUUAAACCCUCCCACCUAGAGGAAGGAGAAGUCGUAACA